rnacentral:rRNA from 1 species
GACGAACGCUGGCGGCGUGCCUAAUACAUGCAAGUUGAGCGCUGAAGGUUGGUACUUGUACCGACUGGAUGAGCAGCGAACGGGUGAGUAACGCGUGGGGAAUCUGCCUUUGAGCGGGGGACAACAUUUGGGAACGAAUGCUAAUACCGCAUAAAAACUUUAAACACAAGUUUUAAGUUUGAAAGAUGCAAUUGCAUCACUCAAAGAUGAUCCCGCGUUGUAUUAGCUAGUUGGUGAGGUAAAGGCUCACCAAGGCGAUGAUACAUAGCCGACCUGAGAGGGUGAUCGGCCACAUUGGGACUGAGACACGGCCCAAACUCCUACGGGAGGAAGCAGUAGGGAAUCUUCGGCAAUGGACGAAAGUCUGACCGAGCAACGCCGCGUGAGUGAAGAAGGUUUUCGGAUCGUAAAACUCUGUUGGUAGAGAAGAACGUUGGUGAGAGUGGAAAGCUCAUCAAGUGACGGUAACUACCCAGAAAGGGACGGCUAACUACGUG